rnacentral:rRNA from 1 species
AGCAGCCGCGGUAAUUCCAGCUCCAAUAGCGUAUAUUAAAGUUGUUGCAGUUAAAAAGCUCGUAGUUGAAUUUCGGGACUAAUAUGUCGGUCGUACUUUGUACGUACUAGCAUUAUUGGUUUCUCCCUUCUGACGAACCACGAUGUCAUUAAUUUGGUGUCUUGGGAAAUCAGGACUGUUACUUUGAAAAAAUUAGAGUGUUUAAAGCAGGCUCACGCUUGAAUACAUUAGCAUGGAAUAAUGAAAUAGGACGUUUGAUUCUAUUUUGUUGGUUUCUAGGAUCGACGUAAUGAUUAAUAGGGAUAGUUGGGGGCAUUAGUAUUCAAUUGUCAGAGGUGAAAUUCUUGGAUUUAUUGAAGACUAACUACUGCGAAAGCAUUUGCCAAGGAUGUUUUCAUUAAUCAAGAACGAAAGUUAGGGGAUCGAAGACGAUCAGAUACCGUCGUAGUCUUAACCAUAAACUAUAGCCGACUAGGGAUCGGAUGAUGUUAAUUUUUAAUGACUCAUUCGGCGCCUUACG